rnacentral:lncRNA from 1 species
AAAGAAAUGUUCAACUACAUAAUAGACAAAGUAAAACAACGAACUGCUUCUUGGAGUGUGAAGAAGUUAUCUCCGGCUGGUAAGGAAAUUAUGCUUAAAUCUGUGGCAUUGGCAAUGCCAAUUUACACCAUGUCCUGUUUUAAGAUUCCUGCAAGUGUAGUAAAUGAGAUAGAUUCUGAACUUCAACGCUUCUGGUGGGAAAAAGGGAAUGAAGAGAGGAGUAUACCUUGGGUAGCUUGGAAGAGAUUACAAUUCUCUAAAUUAGAGGGUGGCUUAGGUUUUAAAAACUUAUCAAAAUUUAAUGAUGCUCUUUUAGCAAAACAAGCCUGGAGAAUUUAUAAGUAUCCUG